CGGCCAAAUCAGUGGUCAGCGACCUCUAAGGAAAUCGCUCUUGGUCGCUGCUCGGAGGAGCAGCUUUGCGGGCAGAACGCGCGCUCCUCGCCUCCCGGAGCCGGGUGCGCCGUGGAGCACGGAUGCUGCGCCGCGCUGCGAGCUUCCACUCGCCCACUGACAGGCCCGGGACUCUGAGGCUGCGGCGGAGAACCUGGGCAGCACCGACCGAUUAGAAACCAGGAAUUAAGAGGAGAAAAGAAAAAAAAAAGAGGCAGGGUUACUGCAGCCUGGGGUGGGCAGGGCUACCCUCCCAGUACUGCCUGCCAGCUGGCUUUCUUUUCCUCCUUUGCAUCCGUUUCAUCUGUGUCUCCCCCUCCCAUCUUUGUUUCCCUUCUCACAAAUCGCUUCUCAACUCUACCCGGCCAGCACUCCCCCUCCCCAAGACUCUAAAAGCAACUGGAAAACCUAUCGCUUGAGAGAAAGCUCUUCCAGUGGAAAGAAUUCGAACUGAGGUGAUGGGGAGAGCCGGGGAGAGAGGGGGAGACCCCGCCCCGAUAGCCUAGAACAAGCCGUAACAAAGCCAAGUCCACGGGAGCAUCACUCUCAACCCCCCAACCUGGCUGCGGGAGCCAAAGUUCUCGGAAGUCGAGCUAAGAAUCGGGGCCCUGCCCCGGGGGAGGGGCUGGGGGAGGGGAGGUUUCUUCGGCCGGUUCGAGGUGCGCUCGCUCCACCCAGGACCCCGGGGCUGCGGCGAGCUGGGGGAGGGGCGCCAAGCCCGGGAGGAGUCCGGCCCAGAUCCCGCAAGUGACCGGCGACCGGACCCAAGCUGGUGGCGGCGCAGUGGGGGCGCAUGGGGAGACGGCAGUAGCCGGACCGAGGAACUGCAGGAGGGCGACCGCGAGGAGGGGUCGGGGGGGACGACAAGUCCCAGCCUCCGCUCCGCUCAGGCGGCCAGCACCUACCUGAUCCCCGGGAACCGGAGUCCGGAGGCGGCAGUUAGAAAAUACGCCUGUAUGUAUCCAGUGCCCAGUAACUCGCCAGAGCUGGCGCCCAGAAAAGCUAACUCGUACCCCGAUGCCAGCAAAAGAAUUAACAACCAGUCACGUAAUGAUCGGGUAUCAGAAAAAGACGUCAGCAUCCUAGUCCCUCAAGGAACAUAUUAACUAUCCUCUGCUGUCCUCCUGGAUAAGAUCCGGAGUCAUCGACUUCUCAUAACACCUUUCACUCAUACUGUACAAUUUAAAGGAGUUUAAUUACCUCGAUGGUUUUCAGUUUUAACCACUUCUCAAGGAUGGGUAAAGAAUUCAUAGAAUCUUGAGAAUGGUAAAAAAAAAAAAAAAAUGUUUUUAACUACGUCUCUCUUGUUUUCUUUUUGCUUUUUCAUCAAGCCCCAGCAAUCAGAGCUCUGGGCUCUGGAAUUAAAGCACCAUCAAGCUCUCCUAUUAAUAAAUUUAAUUUAGAUCUCC